UACGAAGGGGGCUAGCGUUGCUCGGAAUCACUGGGCGUAAAGGGUGCGUAGGCGGGUCUUUAAGUCGGGGGGGAAAUCCUGGAGCUCAACUCCAGAACUGCCUUUGAUACUGAAGAUCUUGAGUUCGGGAGAGGUGAGUGGAACUGCGAGUGUAGAGGUGAAAUUCGUAGAUAUUCGGAGGAACACCAGUGGCGAAGGCGGCUCACUGGUCCAUUACUGACGCUGAGGUGCGAAAGCGUGGGGAGCAAACAGG
rnacentral:rRNA from 1 species